UACGAAGGGGGCUAGCGUUGCUCGGAAUCACUGGGCGUAAAGCGCACGUAGGCGGCUUUUUAAGUCAGGGGUGAAAUCCUGGAGCUCAACUCCAGAACUGCCUUUGAUACUGGGGAUCUCGAGUCCGGAAGAGGUGAGUGGAACUCCGAGUGUAGAGGUGAAAUUCGUAGAUAUUCGGAAGAACACCAGUGGCGAAGGCGGCUCACUGGUCCGGUACUGACGCUGAGGUGCGAAAGCGUGGGGAGCAAACAGG
rnacentral:rRNA from 1 species